UACGUAGGCAGCGAGCGUUGUUCGGAGUUACUGGGCGUAAAGAGUGCGUAGGCGGUUUUCUAAGUUUGGUGUGAAAUCUCCCGGCUUAACUGGGAGGGUGCGCCGAAAACUGGAAGGCUUGAGUAUGGGAGAGGUAAGCGGAAUUCCUGGUGUAGCGGUGAAAUGCGUAGAUAUCAGGAGGAACACCUGUGGCGAAGGCAGGUCUCUGGGCCAUUACUGACACUGAGAAGCGAAAGCAUGGGGAGCGAACAGG
rnacentral:rRNA from 1 species